UUGAACUGGAGAGUUUGAUCCUGGCUCAGAUUGAACGCUGGCGGUAUGCCUAACACAUGCAAGUCGAACGGAAACGAUA
rnacentral:rRNA from 1 species